rnacentral:rRNA from 1 species
ACUAAAAGGCCGCGGUAUUUUGACCGUGCGAAGGUAGCAUAAUCAUUAGUCUUUUAAUUGGAGGCUGGAAUGAAUGGUUGGACGAGAAGGAAGCUGUCUCUAUCUCGGAGAUUGAAUUUAACUUUUAAGUGAAAAGGCUUAAAUAAGUUAGAGGGACGAUAAGACCCUAUAAAGUUUAUACAUGAAGUUGGUUAAGAGUGAUUUAAGGUGUUAAAGUUUAUUAUCAGCAGGGUGUUUAGUUGGGGCGACUAGGAUAUAAAUUAUAUAACUGUUUUUUGUUUAAAUCAGAGAUAUUUGUUCAUAUGAUCCCUUUUUAGGAUUAGAGAAUAAAUUACUUUAGGGAUAACAGCGUAAUUUUUUUUAAGAGUUCUUAUCCACAAGAGAGUUUGCCACCUCGAUGUUGAAUUAAAAAUUUCUCUGUGGUGUAGCGGUUACAGGAGAAGGUCUGUUCCACCUUUAAAUUUUUACAUGAUUUGAGUUCAGACCGGCGAAAGCCGGGG